UACGUAGGGGCCUAGCGUUGUCCGGAUUUAUUGGGCGUAAAGAGCUCGUAGGCGGUUCGGUAAGUCAGGUGUGAAAUCUCCACGCUCAACGUGGAGGCGCCACCUGAAACUGCCGUGACUCGAGUCCGGUAGGGGAGACUGGAAUUCCUGGUGUGAGCGGUGGAAAUGCGCAGAUAUCAGGAGGAACACCGGUGGCGAAGGCGGGUCUCUGGGCAACAACUGACGUGAGGAGCGAAAGCGUGGGGGAGCGAACAGGA
rnacentral:rRNA from 1 species